AGCUGUGUCUACCCAGUCCAGGGCAGGUCAACAGGGAGCCUCCGGGCCAUGCAGGGGUCUGGGGGAGGAGGCUGGUGUGGCCCAGGUCUCAGGCAGGGGCUUGGUCCAACCCCUUCACCUGGCACUCAGCACUGCACUGGGGGUCCCCUGGGGGGGCUUCAAGCAUGCGGAUGGACAGGGCUGGGUGGGCCACUGGGACACAGGGAGGAGGGUUGGAGGCUCCCUUUCAAGCUUUGCCACGACCAAUGUUGACCACCGUGGGGCCAGCGGGGCUCUGGGUCCCAUGGGUGGGGCAGUGCGGGGUGGGCUCUUCCAGGGUGGAGACAAUCUUAGGCAGCGGCUGCAGGUCCCAUUCCCCCUGCAAGGAAGGCACAGAGCAGGCUGAGGCUCAGGCGGGCAGGUGCCCAGCAGCCUCCUGUCUUACCCGCACACUCCUCUCGACCUAGACUGGACUCCCAUUCCUCUAAGCUGCCCUUGGGGUGCCCUCCUGGGUUGAAUGCUCCCCCCCACGCCCCUUUGGGAGCCUAGGAGCCCCCAGACCCCCACGUAAUCCCCACCCUAACGCAGCGCUCCAGCCCCAUGCAGGCUCUGAGGUCCAGGCCUUGUUCCGAAGGAGGAGAGGCCGCGUCAGAGCGUUUUCUCCCGCCCUGCUGGCCAGCCCUGCCCGGGGUGCUGGAUUGUGUGAUCUAGAAGUUAAUCCAGCUCCCCAGAACCCCAGGAGAGGCCAGCUUCCCAGAUGUCCCGGCGCCCAGCUCAGCAUGGCCCUGGCCUCCCGGCCAGCAGCUUGGCCGCAGGCUGCUCGGCUGGGCACGAAUUAAGUGCCGUUGGAUCCCUGUAGGCGGAGGAGCCUGCUUGGGCUGCAGACUGGGGUGUCUGCUGCCCCCGCCCCCAGCGCUGUAUUUUUAGGCUCGUGGGAAGCUGCUGGUGCCCGCUCACACCCCACAUCAGCUGUCUCCCAGGGGCCUCUGCUCCCUGCUGUCCGUCCAUCUGGCCUGUCCCCCUGGUGGUUUUCUCCAUCCCUCCCGCGAGUGCUUCAAGUCAGCUGUUUGGGGUGCGGGCCCCUCGCCCGCCGGGGCCCUCCUCGGGCCUGGGGAGACCUGGGCGCGUGGUGUGGGCAGUGGCGGGUGCUGGCUGGCCUUGGAGGUGGAGAGGCCAGGGCUACCUGGAAGCGGACGGCCGAGGACCUGUUGCAGUGCAUGGAGAUGGGCGCGAAGGCGUAGAGCGCCCUCAGCACGUCGCGGCUGAAGGAGUUCCAGGGCACGGAGGCAAACUGCUGCGGGACGGUGGCCUGGGGGCAGGUGCAGACGUCCUCGCUGUUGAACCUGGCGGGGACAGUGCGGGAGAUGACAGGGAGCCCGCAGGAUGCAGGUGAGGCCCGCCGGUGGCCCCGUGCCACCUGCUCCCCAGCCCAGUGUCCUGGCCCCUCCACGCUGGCAGUGGGCUUGUCCCUGGCCUGCACCAGCUGGUCGCAGCCAGGGGACUGACUAGUGAUUCUGUCACUGUCACUGGCACCUCCUGAGUGCCACCCUGCUCCAAGAAGCAGCCUGGGUCCCGCCACGGUCCCUGGGGCAGAGUCAGGACACUCGCCUGUUCACCAGGUGGAAGUACUUCUGCAGGAAGCCGGGGUCCACGGCGCUCUUGCACAGCUCCAGGUGGGUCUGGGGGUAGUAGUGCACAUAGUUGACGCACAUCUCCUCCAGGAUCCCAAAGCCGCCCUGCAAGGCCAAGGAGACCCGUCAGCCUGGCCGUCACCCUGCCCGUGGUCCCCAGCAGUUUCCCAUGCACACUGUGCCCGCAUCUGCGCCUGCUGGCAGCACAGUGUCGGGCAGCGCACCCCCACCCCAUGGAGCAGGGGACAGAGUCCCGCCCCACAGGCUCCCUUCCUUGGCAGGCGCAGGCGGCCAACAAGCAUCAGUAAACCCACACUAGUGGUGAUGGUGCCCUGAUGAGGGGACGGGGCCGCGGACAGGGCCGCUGUUAUGCCCGUCCAUGGCUGUAGGUAGCGGAUCUCGGGGAGGACGAGGGGCAGCCCUGGGCUGGCUUCAAAGUCCAUGGCAGCAGGAUGGUGGCCAGGAGCUGUCCCUGGGGCUUCUAGCAAGGGCAGCAAGUAAGGAGCACCCUUCCACCGCCAACAGCCACUGGCCAUCGGUCACUCCCACAGCUUGGCUCUGACAGUGGCCAGAAGCCUCUCCUGGCCUCCAGCUGCCCAGCCCUCACCUGCAUGGCUCUGCCUCUGGACGCUCACUGUCCAGUGCACAAGGAGCUCCUGCCUAGAGGCACAUGGUGUGAGGCUGCCUGGCACAGGACAGCCUGCCCCGUUAGGGCCGGGCCUCGUGAAGCCCAGCAGGUGGGAUGUGUUGGAGCCCUGCCCCAGAGCAGUCGGCUACCUCCAAGCCUCGGUGGGUGCCUGCAAAGCUCCCUGGCCUCCGAGCUGUGGCCCUGAACCCAGAGAAGUUGUCCCCAGAUCCAGAGGGAGCAGGGAGGCAGGAGCAGCACAGCCUCAGGGCCCGGGUUAGACCCAGCAGACCUCAGCCCGAGACCCUGGGCCAGCGUCUUCCCGCUCUGGGCCUCUGUGGCUCCCAGGACGGAGCAGAGACUCCUGCUAAGUAGGGGUGGAGAGGACAAGGCCACCCACUGACGGACACAUCACGGUGACGUGCCACCUCGUGGGAGCAGAGCAUGGGCAAGCUGAGCUCUGUUGGAUCCCAAUGCCCUGCAACAUGGACAGAACUGGAAACUGCCCAGAGCAGGAGGCCAGGCCCAGAGGCCACACGGUCCUAGGCCAGUUACGAGAACUACCCAGAUUGGCCACUCCAGAGGCAGAAGGCAAGCAGAGUAGCCAGGCUGGGCAGGGCCUGCAGGGCGACAGCUCAGGGUGAGUUUCUUCCGGGGUGGUGAGGGCCUCUAACAUUGGCUGUGGGCAUGGCUGGGGGUGUCGGGGGCUGUACCAAGGUCACUGGAUCAGGGACCUACAUGAGCGAGUGGUGUGGCGGUGGAUCACAGCUCCGUGAUGCCAUCAAAGAUAGCCGUGACCUAGUCACAGAGAUGGACUGACCGUGCGCUGCUGCAUCAGGGUGGGGGCAGAGUCGAGGGCUCAGGUGCUGGGUGGGAUGCCACCCAGGUCUGGUCCCCUGAACCUCGGGACUCACGGAUGAGUCCUGCCUGCUGCCAUGCCAAGCCAGCAGGCUAGACCCACUGCCCCGCCUGCCCAGCGGAGACCACGUUCUCGCCACCGUCUCACCUGUCCUUGAGGAGGUCCUUCCCAUCAGCUGCUCCCCCUCCUUGGGCUGCCCACAACCCCGCCAGAAUGAGGCCUUCACAUCCCUGCAGUCUCCAGUCACCCGUGCCCACUGAUGCCCAUCCGUGCUUCUACCCUCCCCGGCCAACGCCCUCCAUCCGUCUCCGUCCCCUGGGCCUUCCUGCACACAGCCUGCCCCCCGGAGGCUGCCACCACCCUCUCCACCUUGCCACCUCCACCUUCUCUGGUCUCCGUGUGGUGCCGCUUUGGUGGUGAGGUUUCCGUGGCCCUAGCUCCCGGGCCACUCUCUGCUUUUCUGUUUCUACUAUGAUGCUGCUUGUCACUUAGGGCCAGUGGUUUGGUGCCCCGGUGGACUCGGCCCCACAGGGCCUCCUGGCUCCUCCCACACCCAGCCCAGUGCCGGGCACACAGGUGCCAACACGGCCUCUGUGGGAGCUCUGAGUCGGCAGCGGAGCAGCCAGCGGAGCUUGUGCCGGGCAGAGCUGGCGCUACCACCACAUUCCCCACUCAAAGGGGCUGGCGCGGCUGAGGUUUGCCCAGCUAACACACUGCCUGGGGCUGCCAACGCCACGGCCUGGGACCAGACUGAGAAUGGUGGUUGAUGGAAGGAGAGAGGGAGGGACCCGCUCCCUCUGGAGGAGGUGGGACUCGGCCAGGGGCAGUGUCAGGAAGUAGGCGCCCCCCCCCCCGUUGUGCUCCAGGAAGGCAGCUGGGGGUGGGGGACUUACCACAGUGGCCAGCUUCCUGUCCUCUGUGUUGUAUGUGCAAGAAGUGAUGAGCACGUCUCCCUGGAACAAGCCAGUGAUGGGUCAGCACCGCCAACCGGGGGCAGGCGCUGGGUCCACAUGUGGCCCACCCCUGUGAGAGUCAGUGUGCCACUUGCCCACCACGAGGAAGCCCUGUACACAGGAGCGCAAUCUGAGUGUCCACAUGGAUGCCAGCCCUCGGGGGUGUGGUUAGGGCCUGGCUGUGGUUAGGGCCUGGCCCAGGGGCGUGCAGGUUGGCUGGUCACCUCACAGCCCGAGUCCCCACCUGGACAGGGUUUGCCUUGGGUGCUACCAGCCGUCCUACCUCAAUACUCUCACCUCUGCCUGAAAGCUAUGGACUUGGAGUUCUGCUGACCAAGCUGGAGGACACCCACCUCUCUGAUGCCCUCAGUGUUCCUUUCUGAUGCCCUCUAUGCAGCACCAUGUGUCCCACCUGAGGUGGCCCAGGUCCCAUGCUACCCAUGGCUCUCUGCCCUGCCCUGUGGAUUUCCCUUCCCCAUCACCGUCUGUCUCCCUCCUCCAGGGAAAACACCCCCCACUCCGGCCAGCCUGCCCGGGCACUCACCUGAUGGACAGACACGACCUUCUUCAACAUGCGGAUCUCCUGGCAUGGGGGAAAAGGGGGCGUCAGAGGGCUCUGGCCCUCCUCCAUUAACUUCCCCCUGGGAGUCGGCUCUGAUCUGGCCUCCCCAGGGCUGCCAGGCUUGGCUAAGUGUGGGCUCUGGUCAGCGGGUGAGCCUGGGGCCAGAAGGCAGCUGUCCAGGAUGUGUCUCUCCCUGGUCCUGGUGGCAUGUGGCAGGCCCUCCCCAGACCAACACCAAGGGGCUGGGGAAGAUGCCCCAGCAUAGCGCCCCUCAGCGGAAACGGAAGGAGGCGUGACCCCUCCCCCCUACCUGGAAGUGAGGGCUGUAGUGGUUGUCCCUGUUCACAAUCUCUGUCUCCCGGCCGUCCCGGACCAACACGGUGACCACCUUCCUCCCGGUCAGAUGCGUGUGGAGUUGAGAGGCGAAGAUGUGGACCCCCGAGGAAGGUGUCUAGACCACAGGCUCUGACAGCCGGGCGUGUGGCCCCGGAGGGACAAGACACUCCGAGAGCGUCACCUUCAGGAAGCCAUCCACAUAGAUGUGAUUUUUCAAAAAGAGCUGGGUCACUUCCACCUGGACACUCUAGUAGAAGGCCGGUCUGCAUUCCUGAGGCUGGAUGGGUGGUCUCCAGGUAAGAGGGGUCCAAGGGACCUCAGCCCCCCACAGUAGGCAGGGCCGCGGUCACUUUUGCCCAGUGAACCCUGAGGAGGUGAGGCCAGCCCGAGGCCAAAGAGCCUUCUACAGACAGGGAAAGGAAUAUCCCCAACGGGGACCUUGGGGGUGGAAGACAGUAUGCGAGGCAGGGCAGGAAACCAUUGUGACCCCCACUUCGAAGCUGCUGCUGCCCAGAGGCACAGCCCUGGAGUCACCCAGACCUGCCUCCCACCUCACCCUGGGGCUGCUGGGGACAUGGCCUCCGCAGGCUCUGUCUCCCCCAUUGUGAAAUGGGCACCAGGACAUUUACCUGCCACUCACUGGGAAGCAGAGUCCAAUGUUUACAACAGACUGUGAAGUGGCACCCCGUUAUCCAAAAGCCCCCGGAAACAGCGGUGGCAAGAGGCCAGGCCCGUGGGAGAAGCCGGGCCAAGCCUGGGAGCCCAGACUCCAGGAAAGAAGAACAGUGGGCACAGGCCCAAGGAGGCCCAGCCCUGGGAGGCCCGGAGGGACCCUGAGCGGCAUGGCCGUGUCCGCCUCCCAGGUGGCCGGAAGACAUUCAAGAGAUGGACAACAUGUCGGUCGGGGCAUCUCCUUCCACGUGGGCCAAAGCCUGGGGAGGGCUUUCUGCGGCCCUUUGGAGAUGUGUUCUGAGGGCAGGUCGAGUCUCGACCUCUGACCCACGUUUCCCCACACACAGGAAAUGUCCCUGCAGCUUCUCUGUGGGUGGGACACGGGCCCAGCCCGGCCCAGGAAGGCAGGCGAGGGAGCCUGAGCCGGGCCUCGGGGCUAGUGCACUCAGUGCAGCCUGUGCCCUGUGCCCGCAGAGCCCGGGGCAUGCUGGGUGCCCUGCCGCCUCCCAGCCCCACUCUGGUCAGGUUCCUAGAGAAGCCUCCCACUGGGGGGCCGGGGGUGUUACCCAGAGGCUGAAGGCGAGUCCCAGGACUCAAUUCACCCAGCAAUCUAUAAACUACUGUCAACUUCUCAA